UCCCUGGUGGUCUAGUGGCUAGGAUUCGGCGCUUUCACCGCUGCCGCCCGGGUUCGAUUCCCGGCCAGGGAA